CAAAGAAGUGAAGUAACUUGUCCAAGGUCACACAGCAGACAAGGGGGAAGAGCUAGGAUUAGAACCCAUGACCGCCAGACUCUCGGGCCUGUUCUCUAACCACUAAUCCACGAAUCAGCUAGAAGACUGAGGCACUGUGAAUUGUCUUGUCCAAAAUCAUGACAGAGUGGUGUCAACUGGUACAUCACCUCUGUCUUCUUCAGAUUAUGGCAAAUCACAGUACUCUGCUGAUACUGAAAACUUCUUAAGAAUCACCUGAAUUGGCCCGCAACCUUUGCACCAAUUAAGAACCAGUGGGGGACAAAAUUUUCUUCGGAAUCAUCUGCACUGAGGAGGUAGAGCUCAGAAGACCAGGACCAGAAGGGGGAUCGUGUUUGGUAAAUGGAAUUUGGGAAUAGGGCCACCAGGAAAAAGCCCAGCUGUGGAUCUUCAAUAUGUAUAGAGUAGAAGGAGACGGGUAACCCCAACUCUCAAGUUCUAUGGAUACGGAGAUAUUCUUCCCUGGAAAGGCCAUUGAACAGUAAUGAGUUUUGUUCACUGAGGUAAUCGUCCAGACCUGAAGAAGUGACUUAAAGGUGAAAGGCUUCAUAUCCCACAAGGCUCUUCCUGGACGGAGCCUCUGCACAGGAUAUGUUGGAAAAUGAAUGGAGGAGCAAGAGGCCAUACUUGACAGGAAAGCAAUGUGGGGGUUUUUGCGUUUGGAUUUAUGGUGUUUUUGUUAAGUGCUUACUGUGUG